rnacentral:rRNA from 1 species
CUAAAAACCUAGCCCAACAAACAUGAAUUUUACUUAAUUAACUUAAACCCCCUUAACAAACCAUUUUAACAUUCUAGUAAAGGAGAUUGAAAAACUUAUUUGGAGCUAUAAAAACAGUACCGCAAGGGAACGGUGAAAUAUUAUGAAAAACUUCAAGCAGCAAAAAGUAAAGAUUACCUCUUGUACCUUUCGCAUCAUGGUUUAACUAGUCUAACCAAGCAAAACGUAUUUAAGUUUGACUUCCCGAAACUAAGUGAGCUACUUCAGGGCAGCUAGAAGAGCAAACCCGUCUCUGUAGCAAAAGAGUGGGACGACCCUCAAGUAGUGGUGACAGACCUAACGAACUUAGUGAUAGCUGGUUGCUCAAGAAACGGAUUUAAGUCCAACCUGAAAGUUUUAUAACCUAAGUUCAUCAAAACAAUCACCUAACUUUCAGCGUAAUUCAAAUAAGGUACAGCCUAUUUGAAACAGGAUACAACCUAGCCUAAUGGAUAAGAUCAGCCUAACAUACAAUCAAGUGGGCCUAAAAGCAGCCACCUUUAAUACAGCGUCAAAGCUAAAUUGUAACCGAGCCCAAUUACUUAACCCAUAUCUUAAUCCCCUGCUAAUACUGAGUAAUUCUAUAAUAUUAUAGAAAUUUUUAUGUUAAAACUAGUAACAAGAAGAAGAUUCUUCUCUUAAAUGUACAUAUAAAUCAGAAAAGACAAGCUACUGAUACUUAACACCUCUGAGCAUAAAGUAGUAACUAACCAAGAAAACUCUACUUUUACUGGUGUUAAUCUAACACAAGAACAUUCUAAGAAAGAU